UACGGGGGGGGCAAGCGUUGUUCGGAAUUACUGGGCGUAAAGGGCUCGUAGGCGGCCAACUAAGUCAGACGUGAAAUCCCUCGGCUUAACCGGGGAACUGCGUCUGAUACUGGAUGGCUUGAGUUUGGGAGAGGGAUGCGGAAUUCCAGGUGUAGCGGUGAAAUGCGUAGAUAUCUGGAAGAACACCGGUGGCGAAGGCGGCGACCUGGUCCGUGACUGACGCUGAGGCGCGAAAGCGUGGGGAGCAAACAGG
rnacentral:rRNA from 1 species